CGCUGGCGGGAUGCUUACAUGAAAGUCGAACGGCAGCACGGACUUCGGUCUGGUGGCGAGUGGCGAACGGGUGAGUACGUAUCGGGAACGCGCCUUAGCGGGGAUAACUACAAGCAGCGUGGCCAAUAACUGCAUACGCCCUUCGGGGGAAAGCGGGGACCUUCGGGCCUCACCAUUAGAGCGCUUUACACGGAUUAGCUAGGUUGGUAAAGUAAUCAGUCACCGAUGGCAGACAUCCGAAGGUUUGAGGAUUGACCAGCCACACUGGGACUGAGACACGGCCCAGACUCCUACGGGAGGCAGCAGUGGGGAAUUUGGACAAUGGGGAAACUCUGAUCCAGCCAUCCGGCGUAGUGCGAUGAAGGCCUGGAAGCAAACACUUUGCAGAAAGAAACGCACGGGAUAAUACCCCAACUGACGGUACCCGCAGAAUGGGCACCGGCGACCCACGCCAGCAGCUGCGGUAAUACGUAGGUGCAAGCGCAGACCGGAAUUACUGUGGGCGUAAGCGCAGGCGCCUGGUGAAAGAUGUAAACCCAGAGCUUAACGUGAACUGCACGACACCAUCGAGCCAGAGUGCUCAGAGGAGGUGGAAUUCCGUGCAGCAGUGAAAUGCGCAGAUAUGCGGAGGAACACCGAUGGCGAAGGCAGCCUCUUCGGGAUAACACUGACGCCCAUGCACGAAAGCGUGGGGCAAACAGAUGAUACUCCUGAAUCCACGCCCUGAACGAUGUCAACCAGCUGCUGGGGCCUGGCCCUGGUAGCGGAAGCACCAGUAGUUGACUGCCUGGGGAGUACGGCUGCAAGAUUAAAACUCGCUGAAUUGAUGGGACCCGCACAAGCGGUGGAUGAUGUGAUUAAUUCUGAUGCAAAUCGCGAAAACUUUGCCACCUCUGACAUGUUCUGGAAUCCCGAAGAGAUUUGGGAGCGUCGCAAGAACCGGAAUCAGGUGCUGCAUGGCUGUCGUCAGCUCGUGUCGAUGUUGGCAUUCCCAACGAGCGCAACUCAUUAGUUGCUACGAAAGGGCACUCUGACGAGACUGCCGGUGACAAACCGGAGGAAGGUGGGGAUGACGUCGUGGUCCUCAUGGCCUUAGCGGCAGGGCUUCACACGUCAUACAAUGGUCGGGACAGAGGGUCGCCAACCCGCGAGGGGAGCCAAUCCCAGAAACCCGAUCGUAGUCCGGAUCGCAGUCUGCAAAUCCCGACCGCGUGAAGUCGACCGAUGGCACCGUGACCGGUCGCGGUGAAUACGGCCUCAUGUGGUUCCGGUACACGCCCGGUCACAACCGCUGGGAGGUUCUAUCAGCGUGUUGGGGCCAACGGAGAUAAGACACAGCAGAUCAUGAUUCCGAAGGUGCAAGUCAACAUGUACGCA
rnacentral:rRNA from 1 species